rnacentral:rRNA from 1 species
GAUGAACGCUGGCGGCGUGCCUAAUACAUGCAAGUCGAGCGAACAGACGAGGAGCUUGCUCCUCUGACGUUAGCGGCGGACGGGUGAGUAACACGUGGAUAACCUACCUAUAAGACUGGGAUAACUUCGGGAAACCGGAGCUAAUACCGGAUAAUAUAUUGAACCGCAUGGUUCAAUAGUGAAAGACGGUUUUGCUGUCACUUAUAGAUGGAUCCGCGCCGCAUUAGCUAGUUGGUAAGGUAACGGCUUACCAAGGCAACGAUGCGUAGCCGACCUGAGAGGGUGAUCGGCCACACUGGAACUGAGACACGGUCCAGACUCCUACGGGAGGCAGCAGUAGGGAAUCUUCCGCAAUGGGCGAAAGCCUGACGGAGCAACGCCGCGUGAGUGAUGAAGGUCUUCGGUUCGUAAAACUCUGUUAUUAGGGAAGAACAAAUGUGUAAGUAACUAUGCACGUCUUGACGGUACCUAAUCAGAAAGCCACGGCUAACUACGU